GUGGUGCUGGAACAGGUACUAGGCUUAUAGCUACGAUGCCGGGCAGAGGAGCCCGUCGACUGCACGCCCUGUGGGUCCCAACAGCCGGCUCUGCUCAGCCUGCAGAGCAGACUUCACGUUCCCCUCUCUAGGGUCGGCUGUGGAGCGAUGGCGCCACCUGCUGGUUCGGAUUUCAAAGCUUGGUAGAAAAAUAAACAACUGCAAGGGCGGGGGAAGCAACUCUCUCACUGAGUGCCUGACAGAGGUAAAUCGAUCCCCACAAAAAGAGAGUGAAUGGAAGAGUAACGAGGAGCACUCCACAGUGGGAAAGCCUGCCACAAGCACUAGAUCAUGUACGCUCAUCACAAAGCUCCUGUGGAUGACCUUAAUCUUCACGCUGCAGGCUCCCACCUCCGUUAAGUGGCCUGUCCCAAGUCACAGCCUAAGAAGGAGACGAGACAGUCCGGUUUGGCCUAUGUACAUGGAAUCAAGUUCACGCAAGUUAAGAAGGAAGGCCUGUCCUGAAGUAGGUAACUUCUGGGAACUCUGCAGCUAAGAGGGUCCCUACGCCUUGUCCCUUAUUCGUCUUUCCGCGGAAUUGAGUGACCGAUCCUGGCUUGGCACCGCUGGAAUCGAGAGAUGCAAGGAGGGCCUGUCCUGAAGUAGGUAACUUCUGGGAACUCUGCAGCUAAGAGGGUCCCUACGCCUUGUCCCUUAUUCGUCUUUCCGCGGAAUUGAGUGACCGAUCCUGGCUUGGCACCGCUGGAAUCGAGAGAUGCAAGGAGGGUAAGAAGCACCCACACCUGAUCUCCUAUCUUUAGUGUACACAUAUGUUGAAAUAGAGCUCUAUACUUUGUUUUCUUUCUUUGGGAUUGUGGCUUCAGUUUUGUAACUUGUUUGUGUGUGUAACAUCUCUACAUUUAAAUAAGUAGGCACUAGCAAUUUUGUAACCACAUGAUUAGAAUCUAGCUUAAUAAAUUUUGGUAACCAUUUGUGCAUAAGCCUGACUUGUUUUCUCUGGUUUACUGUAAAGCAGCCAACACAAUUAAAGAACCUCAGCCGUUUUGGCUCUAAAGCCUGGCCAUUAGGUGAGAGUACUAAGAGCCUAGUGUUGAGUUGUGCCGCCUCCAGGGGGAAACUCUUGGGGCACCUGUCAGUCAAUCCUGGCUGCCCGCUGUGAAGGAGCUCUGAGCUCUAGCAGUUAAAGUCACGGGUGUGGAGAGGCUCUUAGUGCUGCCAUUGGGGCACCUGUCAGUCAGUAUUGACUGCCCGCUGCGAAGGAGCUCUGAGCUCUAGCAGUUAAAGUCACGGGUGGUUAGGACCUUGGGGCAUCCGUCAGCCUAGCCCCGGGCUGCCCGCCGCGAAGGGACAGUGCGUCCUAGCGGUUAAAGUCACGGAUGGUAUAAACGGGCAUAGCUGGCACCUCACCAAACAUCCUUGGGCGUCGGCUAACAGAAAAUUGGCGUUGUAUAAAUGCUGACAAUUGCUUCCCCCCCAAAACUGGCAGAGUGCCCCCUUCACCCUCUCUCCCCAAGCACACCUACCCCUCUUCCAAAGCACCCACCAGUCAGUGCCUGUGCUACAGACAACAAACUCAUCCCAAGGGUCACGUAGUCGCUCCUCCUUCACCUGGAGAACUCCCUCGCAGAGCUCUCCUGUUCCCUAGCUCCUUUGGUCGCUUAGGAGCAGGCUUUUUAGAGACUCGUUCUCCACGAUUAGCCCCAGCCCCGAGUGAAGGAUUGGCAGGUCCUACAGGGAUGGGGGGAUGAAAGCCUCAAGAACACGCUCUCAGCCUUGCAUUACAGUCCGCUAGGCUCAGCACAGGCUCCCUCAAACAAACCCAGCACACCACACACACAGACCACAAACUCACCCCAUGGGCUGAAAGUUUCCUGUUCCCAAGCAUCCCUCAUCCCUUAGGAGCAGGCUUUUUAAAGACUCGUUCUCCCUGAGGAGCCCCAAACCCUGCUAAGAGUUGAUGGAUGCUCAAGGGCUUGGCCAUCACAGCCUCCUUAAGAAGCUCUCAACUUUCCUAACAGGCCACUAGGCUCAGCACAAGUUCCCUCAAAUGAACAGACCACACUAUAUCCUUCAUUGAAGCAGCAACCACACUACACUACACGCACCACACCACAGAGAAGAAACUCACCCCAAGGGUCAUGGACCUGCUCCUCCUUCAUCUGGUUACCUGCCUUGCAAAACUCACAUUAGCUGCUCCUGUUCUCUAACUUCUCUCCUCCCUUAGGAGAGGGCUUUUUAAAGCCUUGUUCUCCCUGAAUAGCCCCACCCCCUGGUUAGGGGUUGAUGGUUCCAUAAAAGUGCCCUUAUGCAUGCGAAAGUUUCGCAGCCACUGGGAAUCGUCCCAGACCCGCAACACUAUGCGGUCCCACCAGUCUGUGCUUGUUUCCUGAACCCAGAAUCGGCGUUCCACAGCAUGAACCUGCCCCAUUAGCACCAUGAUGCAUGCAUUGGCAGGGCCCAUGCUUUCAGAGAAAUCUGUGUCCAUGUCCUGAUCACUCACUUGACCGCGCUGAUGUUGCCUCCUCGCCCGGUAUCGCUCUGCCAGGUUCUGGUGCUGCAUAUACUGCUGGAUAAUGCGUGUGGUGUUUAAUGUGCUCCUAAUUGCCAAAGUGAGCUGAGUGGCCUCCAUGCUUGCCUUGGUAUGGCGUCCGCACAGAAAAAAGGCGCAGAACGAUUGUCUGCCGUUGCUCUGACGGAGGGAGGGGGCGACUGACGACAUGGCUUACAGGGUUGGCUUCAGGGAGCUAAAAUCAACAAAGGGGGUGGCUUUACAUCAAGGAGUAUUUCAGGCAGGACUUCACGGAGGGUUCCAAUAAGAAAUGGUGCACCUAAGUUAUUGUUCUUAUUGGAACAAGGAGGUUCGUCUGGCCUCUGAUACAUGGCUAGAUUUACCUCGCUGCACCUUCUCUGUGAGUGACUGCAGUGUGACCUAGAGGAAUGAGUCCCCUAGACGGGGGAGGAGGCAAAUGAGUACAAAACAGAUCUGGUCUAUUUCUUGUUUUGAUCCACUCCAUCUAUCUUUUACAUCUUUGGCGGGCAGCAGACGGUGCAGAAGGACUGCAUGCUAUCCACAUCUCAUGGCUGCUCAGCAGAAGAUGGUACAGUACGACUGCUAGCCAUCCUCAUCUCUUGCCUGCCCGGCAGAAGAUGGUACAGUACGACUGCUAGCCAUCCGUAUCCCCUGCCUGCUCACCAUAAGACAGUUCAAUAGGAGUGACUGCAGGACUAAAGAGAAUGACCUGGUCAAGUCACUCCAAAGUUAGUCCCUGCGCCCAUGUCUGCCCAGGCGCUCCCAGCCAACGUGGCCAGGAGCACCUCGGACAUGACGAUGACAGCUACCAGUCGUACUGCACCGUCUGCUGCCAGAAGGCAAUGGGUUGCUGCUACUGUGUAGCAAUGCCGUACCGCGUCUGCCAGCACCCAGGAGACAUACGGUGAUGGUUACCUGAGCAGGCUCCAUGCUUGCCGUGGUAUGGCGUCUGCACAGGUAACUCAAGAAAAAAGGCGCGAAACGAUUGUCUGUCCUUGC